rnacentral:vault_RNA from 1 species
GCGUCGGUUUAGCUCAAUGGUUUCUUCUUACCUGCAAUUUCCACUUUCUGGUUCGCGGGCCAGGGGGUUCGACCAUGGGCGCUGUCCGAUGUUUUU